rnacentral:lncRNA from 10 species
AUCCUUGACUCCUCUUUCUUUAACGCUCUUCAUUCAACCCAUCAGAAAAUUCUGUGAGUUGAAUCUUCAAAAUAUAUCUUUUCUCAUCAUCUCCACUGCUACCACUUAGUCCAAUUCACCAUUCUCUCACUUGGCUUCCUGAACACUUGCAUCCCCCACAGUUUAUUAUCCUCCAGAUAGCAGCCAAAUGACUGUAUUAAAACAUAAAUCAGAUUAUGCUGUUUCUCAGUUCUAAAGUCUUCAAAGGCUUCCCAUUUCUCUCAGAAUAGAUCCAAGUUCAUACCAUGGUUUGCCUCAAGCCAUCCUGGAUUCCUUGCCAGUCCAUGCAUAUGCCCACACAUGCUUUCACCUCGGGGACUUUUUCUUCUGCUAAGAUGCUUGCUUUCUCCAGGUAUCAAUAGGGUCCACUUCCUGACUUCUUUUAGGUCUCUGUUCAAAUUGCAUCUUAUCAGAGGGAUGUUCCUUGAUUACCCUCUAUAAAAUAGCUCCCCACUUCUUAUAGAUAUUCACUUUUGGAUGGAUUAUAUUUUAUUAUGCUUUUCCCCCUCUUUGCUAAUCUGAAGUUGCAUGCUCUGCUUCUGUUCUUUUAGUUCUGAAAGAUACAACAUACGUUCUUUAAAAACUUUAUUAAAUUACAAUAUUAAUACAGAAAAUUACACAUAUAUAUAUAGAGAGAACUAUCUUGAUGAAUCUUCAAAAUUAAACAUACCUGUGUAACCACCUCGUGGAUUAAGAACAGAAAUUAUAGCAUUCCAGAAGCCACCGGAGCCCCCCAACUUCCAGUCACUACCCUAAAAAGGGUUACUUCUAACACCAUAGAUUAAUUUCACCUGCUUUUGUACUUUUAAAUAAUGGAAUCACACUGUGUGUAUUCUUCUAUGUCAGGCUUCUUCUGCUCAAAACUAUGUUUGUGAGCUUCAUUAAUAUUGUGUGUAGUUGUUUAUUUUCAUUGCUGUGUAUACUUGAUUAUGUGAAUAUACCGAUAUUUAUUUACCCAUUCUACUG